rnacentral:rRNA from 1 species
UGCGUAGGCGGGCAGGUAAGUCCGUGGUGAAAUCUCCAAGCUUAACUUGGAAACUGCCGUGGAUACUAUUUGUCUUGAAUAUAGUGGAGGUGAGCGGAAUAUGUCAUGUAGCGGUGAAAUGCUUAGAUAUGACAUAGAACACCCAUUGCGAAGGCAGCUCGCUACACUAUUAUUGACGCUGAGGCACGAAAGCGUGGGGAUCAAACAGGAUUAGAUACCCUGGUAGUCCACGCCCUAAACGAUGAUUACUCGACAUCAGCGAUACACUGUUGGUGUCUGAGCGAAAGCAUUAAGUAAUCCACCUGGGAAGUACGACCGCAAGGUUGAA